UCUGCUUUUGUAUUGUGUGUCCUGAUCCAUCAAGAUGCGAACGAGUCCCGCUGCAAGCUCCUGCCACCGGCAGAGUUUCCACACGUUUGCUCCCCCACACCGCAGUGGAUGGUACCCUCUGAACUGUGGGCUAAAGUGCACUCUCCUCCCUCUCCCGCCCUGAAGUUGGUUCCGCCAAGUGUUUUGUCGAAGCAAUGAGAAAAGUAGCUAAGACAUUAAUUUCGAGUCUACUCAAGGUAAUCUUUAUUCCAGAAUUUUUUUUUAACCUAAUGUGUCUAUAGUUUGGAAAGUAGACAAGACUGAUCGAUACAUUUUUUUAUGGUGUUUGAAAAUGAUUUGGACCUAACUCCAGAGAGUGAAGGAAGUCAGCACAAUCAGGAUGCACAGCGAAGGAGGCCGGCAGCCUUCUCCAACAGCAGCCAGCGGCUGCAGCAGAUGUGCUGCUGGAGAUAGUGCAUCCGCAGGGCUGCAGUCACGUGAGAACUGCGAAGAGUUCAACUGACCUGAAGCUCAACCUUACAGUCGCACAGUUGGGGACUUUUCCCCCAGCUAGGGACCGGGGUCAAGGUGCAAUGGGCCGCACCAGAGUUGGUUGUAUCUUCAGUCUGAGUGGAGUCCAAGGAAACCAGAUGAUCCGUCAUGGUGUUGAACAAUGUGGCAUACAUGUCAGCAUGGGUACCCCUUCCCCCAAUGACUUCAACGUAGCACUGUUUCAGUGACGCUCUUUAAGUAAGAGCCGUGGAAACUGGGGAAAGUCAAAACAGGACUUCUCUGGAAAGAAUGGUCAGGAUUUCUUAGAUCAUCCUGAAAAUAGAACUCAACCUGAAAAAAGAACAAAAGUAGACUAUCGUUAUCCCAAUGGAUGCAAAAAAAAUGCACUUACUGCUAAAUAAAUAGAAAUUUCCACUAUA